rnacentral:sRNA from 1 species
UCUACUGUCUCAUCUGCUUUGGCAUCAGCGCUGAAUAGAUUUAAGACAUCUGCGCAUGUGUCUUCAGGUGCUGAAGAAAAACACCCUUCUCUGUACAUUGCCUAUUGGGCUGACACUUAAACAUUGCUCUGGGAUGUUGCAAACAGACCAAGCUAGAAAGGUACAAAAUGACUUUAUGUGCCUUAGUUGGAAUGUUGAUCUUAUUCUCUUAGACAAUCAACUUGUCUCUCUCUGCAUCCUAUUACACGCUGAGGACAGAAUAUUUGGAGGAUGUUGUACCUGCCCCCGAAACACUGCAACUCACUGAGUUGGAAAAUUGAGAAACUAUAAAGAAGAGAUUCUACCCUGCACUGUGGAUUCCCAGUGUUUUAUUUUGGAUGCCUUAUUCACCCAAGAGCAACAAGUUACGAAGGCAUCGAGAAAGCAUGGACAACAGCUGAGUCUUAUCACUGUGUGGCAGGGAUGGAUUUCUGGAAGACAUGCAAGAAGAGGCUACUGAUGAGAGUGCACCCCAGUUGCAACAAGGAGUCACAUUAAAAGUACUGACCUGAGUCUCAGAAGACAUUUUGAACUUCUAAAUAAUAUUUAACCGAUGAUAAAUAAGAUUCAACUCUUCUAACUGUCCAUGUUAAGGAUCCAUUGAAUUGGAGCUGUAUCAGUGCUCUUCAUGAAACAUAAAUGGUAAGCAGUACACAGAAAUUUAUACACCUUUCUCAGAUAACACUGUCAAUGCUAAAAUUAAAAGCAAAUCACAGAUUACAACAGCAUGAUUUAAAACUUAG